rnacentral:rRNA from 1 species
GAUGAACGCUGGCGGCGUGCCUAAUACAUGCAAGUCGAGCGAACAGGCGAGGAGCUUGCUCCUCUGACGUUAGCGGCGGACGGGUGAGUAACGCGUGGAUAACCUACCUAUAAGACUGGGAUAACUUCGGGAAACCGGAGCUAAUACCGGAUAAUAUAUUGAACCGCAUGGUUCAAUAGUGAAAGACGGUUUUGCUGUCACUUAUAGAUGGAUCCGCGCCGCAUUAGCUAGUUGGUAAGGUAACGGCUUACCAAGGCAACGAUGCGUAGCCGACCUGAGAGGGUGAGCGGCCAAACUGGACCUGAGACAGGGCACAGACCACUAGGGGGGGGACAAGGGGGGAUUCGCCCAAAAGGGGCAAAAGCCGGAGGGAGCAACGCGGGGGGGGGGAGAAAGGUUUUCGAAUCGAAAAAUUUUUUUAUUGGGAAAGAAAAAAUGUGAAAGAAACUAUGCACGUCUGGAGGGUACAUAACAAAAAAGCAAGGGCUACAUACGUG